CUUAACACAUGCAAGUCGAACGAAGCACUUUGAUCGAUUUCUUCGGAAUGAAGUUUUAGUGACUGAGUGGCGGACGGGUGAGUAACGCGUGGGUAACCUGCCUUAUACAGGGGGAUAACAGUCAGAAAUGGCUGCUAAUACCGCAUAAGCGCACAGAGCUGCAUGGCUCAGUGUGAAAAACUCCGGUGGUAUAAGAUGGACCCGCGUUGGAUUAGCUUGUUGGUGGGGUAACGGCCCACCAAGGCGACGAUCCAUAGCCGGCCUGAGAGGGUGAACGGCCACAUUGGGACUGAGACACGGCCCAGACUCCUACGGGAGGCAGCAGUGGGGAAUAUUGCACAAUGGGGGGAACCCUGAUGCAGCGACGCCGCGUGAAGGAAGAAGUAUCUCGGUAUGUAAACUUCUAUCAGCAGGGAAGAUAGUGACGGUACCUGACUAAGAAGCCCCGGCUAACUACGUGCCAGCAGCCGCGGUAAUACGUAGGGGGCAAGCGUUAUCCGGAUUUACUGGGUGUAAAGGGAGCGUAGACGGUGUGGCAAGUCUGAUGUGAAAGGCAUGGGCUCAACCUGUGGACUGCAUUGGAAACUGUCAUACUUGAGUGCCGGAGGGGUAAGCGGAAUUCCUAGUGUAGCGGUGAAAUGCGUAGAUAUUAGGAGGAACACCAGUGGCGAAGGCG
rnacentral:rRNA from 1 species